rnacentral:rRNA from 1 species
UGCAAGUCGAACGCGUUGGCCCAAUUGAUUGAUGGUGCUUGCACCUGAUUGAUUUUGGUCGCCAACGAGUGGCGGACGGGUGAGUAACACGUAGGUAACCUGCCCAGAAGCGGGGGACAACAUUUGGAAACAGAUGCUAAUACCGCAUAACAGCGUUGUUCGCAUGAACAACGCUUAAAAGAUGGCUUCUCGCUAUCACUUCUGGAUGGACCUGCGGUGCAUUAGCUUGUUGGUGGGGUAAUGGCCUACCAAGGCGAUGAUGCAUAGCCGAGUUGAGAGACUGAUCGGCCACAAUGGGACUGAGACACGGCCCAUACUCCUACGGGAGGCAGCAGUAGGGAAUCUUCCACAAUGGGCGCAAGCCUGAUGGAGCAACACCGCGUGAGUGAAGAAGGGUUUCGGCUCGUAAAGCUCUGUUGUUAAAGAAGAACACGUAUGAGAGUAACUGUUCAUACGUUGACGGUAUUUAACCAGAAAGUCACGGCUAACUACGUGCCAGCAGCCGCGGUAAUACGUAGGUGGCAAGCGUUAUCCGGAUUUAUUGGGCGUAAAGAGAGUGCAGGCGGUUUUCUAAGUCUGAUGUGAAAGCCUUCGGCUUAACCGGAGAAGUGCAUCGGAAACUGGAUAACUUGAGUGCAGAAGAGGGUAGUGGAACUCCAUGUGUAGCGGUGGAAUGCGUAGAUAUAUGGAAGAACACCAGUGGCGAAGGCGGCUACCUGGUCUGCAACUGACGCUGAGACUCGAAAGCAUGGGUAGCGAACAGGAUUAGAUACCCUGGUAGUCCAUGCCGUAAACGAUGAGUGCUAGGUGUUGGAGGGUUUCCGCCCUUCAGUGCCGGAGCUAACGCAUUAAGCACUCCGCCUGGGGAGUACGACCGCAAGGUUGAAACUCAAAGGAAUUGACGGGGGCCCGCACAAGCGGUGGAGCAUGUGGUUUAAUUCGAAGCUACGCGAAGAACCUUACCAGGUCUUGACAUCUUGCGCCAACCCUAGAGAUAGGGCGUUUCCUUCGGGAACGCAAUGACAGGUGGUGCAUGGUCGUCGUCAGCUCGUGUCGUGAGAUGUUGGGUUAAGUCCCGCAACGAGCGCAACCCUUGUUACUAGUUGCCAGCAUUAAGUUGGGCACUCUAGUGAGACUGCCGGUGACAAACCGGAGGAAGGUGGGGACGACGUCAGAUCAUCAUGCCCCUUAUGACCUGGGCUACACACGUGCUACAAUGGACGGUACAACGAGUCGCGAACUCGCGAGGGCAAGCAAAUCUCUUAAAACCGUUCUCAGUUCGGACUGCAGGCUGCAACUCGCCUGCACGAAGUCGGAAUCGCUAGUAAUCGCGGAUCAGCAUGCCGCGGUGAAUACGUUCCCGGGCCUUGUACACACCGCCCGUCACACCAUGAGAGUUUGUAACACCCAAAGUCGGUGGGGUAACCUUUUAGGAGCCAGCCGCCUA